GGCCGGCUGGCCGAUCCGGAUCGGCGCCCGGCGCUGCUGGCGCUGAUGGCCAUGCUGCUCGGCACGGCCGCCGGCGC
rnacentral:tRNA from 1 species